AACGUAGGAGACAAGCGUUAUCCGGAGUUACUGGGCGUAAAGGGCGUGUAGGCGGUUUGUUAAGUCUGGCGUGAAAGCUCUCGGCUAAACCGGGAGAGGUCGUUGGAUACUGGCAAACUAGAGGACGGUAGAGGCGUGUGGAAUUCCGGGUGUAGUGGUGAAAUGCGUAGAGAUCCGGAGGAACACCAGUGGCGAAGGCGACACGCUGGGCCGUACCUGACGCUAAAGCGCGACAGCAUGGGGAGCAAACGGG
rnacentral:rRNA from 1 species